ensembl:lncRNA
UGUUGCAGAUCUCUGGACUGGAGCGCAUUUCUCGGAUCUCCCAGCGCCUUCCUCUCUUCUCUCCUCUGUAUGAACAGAUUUCACCUUCUCCACAGAGCCGUGUUUGAUCAGUCAGGAGAACUGAGGUUUGGCCACAGCAGCAGCUGGAGUGGUAUGGAUUGAAAGCAACAAAGGUGAUAAUGUCAGGAGAGAGACAGAGCAGUGAAGCACUCAUGACAGUCACAUCACAUGGAUGGCAGGAAGUAUGCUACUCCCAGUGAAGGAAGACCUCCGAAGCCUCUGUGGAGACAGAUGAAUUUAUCAUUCCAAAAUAGCAGGAGUGAAGCUCCCUGAAGCCAUGACCGGGGAUUAGGUUUCUCAGGAUACUGACAGUGCCCGAUGCAAAGGAGUGGAUGGAGGGAAAAGACCAUAGGCUUGAGAUUCCACAGAGGCAGAAUCAAAGUUCAGUCCAAAACAGAAGAGGAACAGAACUAGCUGUCAACUAUAAUAAACAGAACGUGAAAUGUGAGAGCAGGUUGUGAAAAAAGGAUAAUUAAAACAAGGACGACAUUAACCGUAACCUGUUCAGGCUGAAUUUGAAUCCGAAUCUAAGGAAGGAGGCCCUGGAGACUGUGGCCUUUGGGAGAUGACAGACAGGGUGAAAGUUUGCUUCCUUGGAAAUUUGAUUGAACACAGCCCGGAGGCCGUGUCUGU